rnacentral:rRNA from 1 species
UAGGGAAUCUUCCGCAAUGGGCGAAAGCCUGACGGAGCAACGCCGCGUGAGUGAUGAAGGUCUUCGGAUCGUAAAUCUCUGUCAUUAGGGAAGAACAAAUGUGUAAGUAACUAUGCCCGUCUUGACGGUACCUAAUCAGAAAGCCACGGCUAACUACGUGCCAGCAGCCGCGGUAAUACGUAGGUGGCAAGCGUUAUCCGGAAUUAUUGGGCGUAAAGCGCGCGUAGGCGGUUUUUUAAGUCGGAUGUGAAAGCCCACGGCUCAACCGUAGAGGGUCAAUGGAAACUGGAAAACUUGAGUGCAGAAGGGGAAAGUGGAAUUCCAUGUGUAGCGGUGAAAUGCGCAGAGAUAUGGAGGAACACCAGUGGAGAAGGCGACUUUCUGGUCUGUAACUGACGCUGAUGUGCGAAAGCGUGGGGAUCAAACAGG